GAUGAACGCUGGCGGCGUGCCUAAUACAUGCAAGUCGAGCGAACAGAUGAGGAGCUUGCUCCUCUGACGUUAGCGGCGGACGGGUGAGUAAUACGUGGAUAACCUACCUAUAAGACUGGGAUAACUACGGGAAACCGGAGCUAAUACCGGAUAAUAUAUUGAACCGCAUGGUUCAAUAGUUAAAGACGGUUUUGCUGUCACUUAUAGAUGGAUCCGCGCCGCAUUAGCUAGUUGGUAAGGUAACGGCUUACCAAGGCAACGAGGCGUAGCCGACCUGAGAGGGUGAUCGGCCACACUGGAACUGAGACACGGUCCAGACUCCUACGGGAGGCAGCAGUAGGGAAUCUGCCGCAAUGGGCGAAAGCCUGACGGAGCAACGCCGCGUGAGUGAUGAAGGUCUUCGGAUCGUAAAACUCUGUUAUUAGGGAAGAACAAAUGUGUAAGUAACUAUGCACGUCUUGACGGUACCUAAUCAGAAAGCCACGGCUAACUACGUG
rnacentral:rRNA from 1 species